AUUUAUUUGAAGGGUUACAAGCCUCUUCGAUCUUGUAUUGUAACUAAGCAAAUACUAAAUAGAGAAAAUGAUGCAUGUUUUAACAGAUAUCUCUGAUGGGCAAAAGAAAUAGCAGCAGUAAGGGCAGGUAAAAAUGAAAGCAGAUUAAUUAGUCACACAAUCUAUAACUUUGCCAGUAGAAAUGGUAAAAUUACAGGAGUAUAGAAACAUA
rnacentral:misc_RNA from 1 species